UACAGAGGUCUCAAGCGUUGUUCGGAUUCAUUGGGCGUAAAGGGUGCGUAGGUGGCGGGGCAAGUUUGGUGUGAAAUCCCGGGGCUCACCCCGGAACUGCACUGAAUACUGCCUUGCUAGAGCACUGGAGAGGGAACUGGAAUUUACGGUGUAGCAGUGAAAUGCGUAGAUAUCGUAAGGAAGACCAGUGGCGAAGGCGAGUUCCUGGACAGUUGCUGACACUGAGGCGCGAAGCGUGGGGAGCAAACAGG
rnacentral:rRNA from 1 species